ensembl:lncRNA
AAUCUAAACAGAGUCAUGGCGUUGUCUCUAAACACGGUGUUUGUUGACUCCUGGGUUUAUAAAUAAACAGACACAUGAUGAUUGGCUUCAAGCCCUCCGGAUCUGUCUGUUUACACCGUCCCAUUAUAACAGCUAUCUCUUUAUAGCUGUCACAUGAAACAACACACACAGACAUACACAAACACACACAUAAACACACACACACAUAAACACACGCACACACACACACACAGAAGCAGAUACCUGAAGAGAAAAGGAAAUGCCUCACAGAUCUUUGUGAUGUCAUUACAGUUCUGUUGUGUUUCUGACAUUCUCAAAUCAACUGCACCGGCAAAUAAGCUGUCUAAAGGAUUUAGUGAAUCGACGGAGGUAUGUGUACCUGCCUGACUUCCUGUUUUAUCUGCCAGUCUACCUACCUGUGAACCUGCCUGACUUCCUGUUUACCUGCCUGACUACCAGCAUGUCUACCUGCCUGACUUCCUGUUUUACCUGCCAGUCUACCUACCUGUGUACCUGCCUGACUUCCUGUUUACCUGCCUGACUACCUGCCUGUCUACCUGCCUGACUUGCUGUUUACCUGCCUGACUACCUGCCUGUCUACCUGCCUGACUUCCUGUUUACCUGCCUGACUACCUGCCUGUCUACCUGCCUGACUUCCUGUUUACCUGCCUGACUACCUGCCUGACUUGCUGUUUACCUGCCUGCCUGACUACCUGCCUGUCUACCUGCCUGACUUCCUGUUUACCUGCCUGACUACCUGCCUGUCUACCUGCCUGACUUGCUGUUUACCUACCUGCCUGUCUACCUGCCUGACUGCCUGUCUACCUGCCUGUCUACCUGACUAACUACCUGUCUACCUACCUGACUUCCUGUCUACCUACCUGACUGUCUACCUGCCUGUCUACCUGCCUGACUUCAUGUCUACCUACCUGUCUGUCUACCUGCCUGUCUACCUACCUGCCUGUCUACCUACCUGCCUGUCUACCUACCUGUCUACCUGCCUGUCUACCUGCCUGACUUCCUGUCUACCUACCUGUCUACCUGCCUGACUUCCUGUCUACCUACCUACCUGCCUGUCUACCUGACCUGACUGGCUGUCUACCUGCCUGACUGCCUGUCUACCUGCCUGACUGCCUGUCUACCUGCCUGUCUACCUACCUGUCUGUCUACCUGCCAGUCUACCUGCUAGUCUACCUGCCAGUCUACCUGCCUGACUUCCUGUCUACCUACCUGCCUGUCUAACUGCCUGUCUAACUGCUUGCCUGCCUGUCUACCUACCUGCCUGUCUACCUGCCUGUCUAACUGCUUGCCUGCCUGUCUACCUGCCUGCCCCUUCAAGGGAGAAUAUAAUAUCAGGUUACGGCCCUGGGCCGACAAGGUUUUCGUCCCACCUUCUGACCAAUAUCAUUUCUACAUCUGCUGCUGUUAAAUGAGAGAGGACUGAGGGUUGUGUCAUUGUGGUACACCGGGGGCCUGUCUACCUGCCUGACUUCCUGUUUACCUGCCUGACUACCUGCCUGACUUGCUGUUUACCUGCCUGCCUGACUACCUGCCUGACUUCCUGUUUACCUGCCUGACUACCUGCCUGUCUACCUGCCUGACUUGCUGUUUACCUACCUGCCUGUCUACCUGCCUGUCUACCUGCCUAACUACCUGUCUACCUACCUGACUUCCUGUCUACCUACCUGACUGUCUACCUGCCUGUCUACCUGCCUGACUUCCUGUUUACCUGCCUGACUACCUGCCUGUCUACCUGCCUGACUUGCUGUUUACCUGCCUGACUACCUGCCUGUCUACCUGCCUGACUUCCUGUUUACCUGCCUGACUACCUGCCUGUCUACCUGCCUGACUUGCUGUUUACCUACCUGCCUGUCUACCUGCCUGACUGCCUGUCUACCUGCCUGUCUACCUGCCUGUCUACCUGCCUGACUACCUGUCUACCUACCUGACUUCCUGUCUACCUACCUGACUGUCUAGCUGCCUGUCUACCUGCCUGACUUCAUGUCUACCUACCUGUCUGUCUACCUGCCUGACUGCCUGUCUACCUACCUGCCUGUCUACCUACCUGCCUGUCUACCUACCUACCUGCCUGUCUACCUACCUGUCUACCUGCCUGUCUACCUGCCUGACUUCCUGUCUACCUACCUGUCUACCUGCCUGACUUCCUGUCUACCUACCUGCCUGUCUACCUGACCUGACUGCCUGUCUACCUGCCUGACUGCCUGUCUACCUGCCUGACUGCCUGUCUACCUGCCUGUCUACCUACCUGCCAGUCUACCUGCCAGUCUACCUGCCUGUCUACCUGCCAGUCUACCUGCCAGUCUACCUGCCAGUCUACCUGCCUGACUGCCUGUCUACCUGCCUGACUUCCUGUCUACUUACCUGCCUGUCUAACUGCUUGCCUGCCUGUCUACCUGCCUGCCCCUGCAAGGGAGAAUAUAAUAUCAGAUUACGGCCCUGGGCCGACAAGGUUUUAGUCCCACCUUCUGACCCAUAUCAUUUCUACAUCUGCUGCUGUUAAAUGAGAGAGGACUGAGGGUUGUGUCAUUGUGGUACACCGGGGGCAUACUUAUGUCUGGCCUGGCUAGCUGCUCUCCUCACCAUGCUGUCUGGGUGGAGGGAUUGAUCAUGAAACAUUACACAGCCUCUCCCAUCUAUCUAUACACACACACACAGACACAGAGAGAGAGACACACACACACACACACACACACACACACACACACACGUUAGAGACUCUCCCAUCUAUCUAUACACACACACACAGACACAGAGACCCACACACACACACAGAGAAACACACAGACACACACAGAAACACACACACACACAGACCCCCCCACACACACACACACACAGACACACACAGAAACUAACCCACACACGUUAGAGACUCUCCCAUCUAUAUAUACACACACAGAGAGAGACACACACACACACACACACACAGACACACACACACAGACACACACAGACACACACACACACACAGACACACACAUAGACACACAGACACACACGUUAGAGACUCUCCCAUCUAUCUAUCUACACACACACAGACACACAGAGACACACACAGAUACACACAGACACACACGUUAGAGACUCUCCCAUCUAUCUAUACACACACACACAGAGACACACACACACACACACACAGACACACACACACACACACACGUUAGAGACUCUCCCAUCUAAUCUAUUCCACUGUAAGAACCAGACACUGAACAGCAGGGCUCUCUUGCCAUUCAUCCCCGAGCUAGGCAGAUAAAACCAACAAAGAUGACUGACAGGCCAGACAACAGACAGAGAUGACUGACAGCCCAGACAACAGAUAGAGAUGACUGACAGCCCAGACAACAGAUAGAGAUGACUGACAGCCCAGACAACAGACACUGAACUGUAGGGCUCUCUUGCCAUCUAUCCCCGAGCUA